rnacentral:rRNA from 1 species
UAGGGAAUCUUCGGCAAUGGGGGCAACCCUGACCGAGCAACGCCGCGUGAGUGAAGAAGGUUUUCGGAUCGUAAAGCUCUGUUGUAAGUCAAGAACGGGUGUGAGAGUGGAAAGUUCACACUGUGACGGUAGCUUACCAGAAAGGGACGGCUAACUACGUGCCAGCAGCCGCGGUAAUACGUAGGUCCCGAGCGUUGUCCGGAUUUAUUGGGCGUAAAGCGAGCGCAGGCGGUUUGAUAAGUCUGAAGUUAAAGGCUGUGGCUCAACCAUAGUUCGCUUUGGAAACUGUCAAACUUGAGUGCAGAAGGGGAGAGUGGAAUUCCAUGUGUAGCGGUGAAAUGCGUAGAUAUAUGGAGGAACACCGGUGGCGAAAGCGGCUCUCUGGUCUGUAACUGACGCUGAGGCUCGAAAGCGUGGGGAGCGAACAGGAUUAGAUACCCUGGUAGUCCACGCCGUAAACGAUGAGUGCUAGGUGU